CACGGCCUCUCUCGAUUAUAGAACCAAAAAGAUAACAGCCUGUGUGAAAGCAAUAACUGUUGACGUGGAAACAUUAUCAGCAAAAACCACCAACGCCAGAGCCCUUCCAGGACCCGGCCAGGAGAGGGAACAAGCUAUUGCACAUCUCCCUCUGAUCUCUCCGAGGUUACCUUCUGCGGGAAAGAACACAGCCACACUAGACUGAGGCAGAAAUCUCUAUGAAAUGUGGCUGUUUGGACUCCAUUCUCUUCUGCCACACAGAGUCAUCUUCCUGGGUUUCCUGUCUCGUAGCCCUCUCUACACACCGGGGACAUAAAGAAGGGCAGCUCCUCUGGGCAUGCUAGACAGAAGACAAAGUCACAAGUCCCCAAAGAUGCAUGGCUGAAGGCAUCUAGUUGGUAAUCCAAAGGACAGUCAGAGCAUCGGGGAGACCUGGCCAACCAUGGCCCUCUCACCAGCCAUACUGACUUCUCGAAUGUUGGCUUCUACUUGGAUAAAAUGGAAUGUUACGUAUACAUCACUAGAUUGUUAUGAGAGUCUGAUGAAGUCAUCUCACAGCCCCAAACUGUGUACCAAGGCAGCUUUAACAGCUCACUGUGAGGCUGGGUACCCAGCCACUCUGCCAGGUACCAAACAAUCUGCUAGCUCAAAACCACGCCCAGCUUCACUGUGAGACCAGAAGACAAUCCACUCAAGAAUAUCACAUCUUUGUGAAGCAUGACCUUGCAGGAACCACACGGGAUAUAAAAUGAGAGUGGCGGUGUGUUCUGUCUGCCGUGUGGGAGAAACUGAGCAUGGCUCACCGUGUGCACCGGCUCAUUGCAAAGCGAUGCUAGCUGUUUAAACCGAUUAUCUCUCCAGCUGUAAGAAUCCUUUCCAAAUACCUGGGAUGUAGCUGAGAAAACACAAUGCUAACUAAGGUCAUUUGGACCUGGCCACUCAAUGGAAAGAACUGUGAGCUAUUGCUUAUGGUCCAAGGGCUGAGAGGCCUGAGGUCUGGGGCUCUGAAGUAGUUAUUGGAAAUACACUGAGCACGGGCCUGUGACCUGGGUUCUUAUUCUUACUGAAGUGUUGCCUCUCGACUAACAAAGAUGAAAUGCAGUGCAGGAGAAUUCCUGAAGGGGCCCAAGCCGGAGCUGAGAACCAUGGAAAAUACAGAGUCCCCUGUGUCCCUGAUUCGCCUUCCAUCUUGGACAUGCCCCUAAGUACCUGUAAGAUGAUUCCCUCCUGUCUGAGCAUGGCUUGGAAGUCCCCCACUUCAGACCACCUCAGAGCACGCAUCCAGGUGCAAUGCCAGCGCCCACUUUGCCUUCAAAGCCCCGCAGACCCAUGUCUCACAGAGACCAGCCUGGGGUGGGGAGAGCUAAGCAGUAUCAGUUCUACAUGCAGUGGAAGGCCCCAGGGACAAGCUAGGCCUCUCACUGCUGGGGCCAUGCGACCCACCCGCCUCCUCUUCAGCAGAGUCAAGCAAUUGCCCUUCUUUGCCCAUCCUGUUCAAAACCAACAAGAAGACCCCUCAGCCCCACUCACCACCACCUCUCAUCUCCAAUAUGGAGUUGUGAGUAUCCCUCCCUGCCCUCUCCAGCUAAGGAGUCAGAGGCUCCAUGCCUCACAGACGAAUGCUUUUGCAUCGUGGUUAAAAUGCAGCCUUAGAUUCCUGCCUUGGUUUUCAAGUGAGGACCUAUUACAUGGUAGCAACCACCAAGACGAGGGAGAAAGAUAUCACCAAGAUCAAGUGCACAAGGGAAUUCGAAGAACAGUUUUCCCAACUCUGACUGCCUGACUGGCAUCGAACCUGAGGUGCAUUUGAUCAAGCCCUGAGUCCCGGGUGUCCCUGUUCCCAGUGACUUCCCACAGACAAAUCAGUGUGCUGACACAGUCAUAAUGAGACAUCACAGCAGAGGCUCAGCUUCUGUUGUAAAGGGUGUGUGUGUGUGUGUGUGUGUGUGUGUGUGUGUGUGUGCGCGCACAUGCUGACACCAUGAUCUGGAACCUUUCCUAGGAGGCCUUCUCCUCUCCAGAUCCCCUUCCCAACAAGGCACUUGUUUAAGAAAACCAAGGGUGUGAGAAGAACAGAACAUUAAGAACGGUGAUCCCUUUGGGGAGAAAGAUGGCAAAGAAUUUGUGAGUUUUCUCAGUUUGGAAUGUUUACACUUUUCUAUAAUGAUCGUAAACAUCAUUUAGAACUAGAAACCUUCUUUGACAAUGAAUGGUUAAAAGAGAACAGACGGAGAAAUGACCCAGCACCACUGAGAGGGAAGUCAGGCGGCAGGAACCCAGGGCCACACACAGGUUGAAAGUUCCCCACAGAGGCUUGGGGACUGGAAAGAGGCCAUAACCUCAGGCUCAGCAGGCUCAGCCUUAAGCAGCCAUUGUGCUGGGCUACCCUAGGGAAGCUAGUAUUGCCACAGAAUAGGACUUGCCGGAGGGUGUCCUGUGAGGUAGGUGCUCUGUGACUCGGGUGAUACCUUCUGCAGAGUACAAAAGUGACAAGCUUCUCUUGGCUGCCACAAACAAGAAAAAAAAUGUGACUGUUGACAGCAGACAUUGUUCGUAGGUAAUAUAGAGGAGACAAAAUUAAAUAAACAGCCUUUAAAAAUAAACUCAAAAUACAUAGUAACCAGCCAAGUGGUGGUGGUGCACGCCUGUAAUCCCAGCACUCCGGGAGGCAGGGGCAGGUGGAUUUCUGAGUUCGAGGCCAGCCUGGUCUACAGAGUAAGUUCCAGGACAGCCAAGGCUAUACAGAGAAACCCUGUCUCGAAAAAAAAAAAAAAUGCAUAGUAACCAAGGUCAUUCCAUACUAGGCAAAGCGGGACACUCAACUACGGUUCCAAGAAAGUCACCAUUAACUUCAGUCCUGACCCUCAAACCCCAGAUUUAGAGGUGAAGAAAAAUAAUUCAGUACCCACUUUGUGGCCUGGUUCUCACCCCACCCCUACCCUAGACAGAUAGGGAAACUGAGGACCAAAUGAAGUCAAAGACUGUAGAGGACCCUAUGAUUAGAAACAUCACGGAACAACCCUCUUCUUUGAAAGGAGACACUGACCAAUGUUACAACAAGAGGGGACCCCCCCCCCAA